CCCACUUCGCCAUUUUCCUCCGGAAGUGCGGAUCCCAGCGGUGGUCCUGUAGCUGAGCAGGCCUGGGGCUUGGUUCUAUGUCCCUGUGGCUAUGUUUCCAGUGUCCUCUGGGUGUUUCCAAGAGCAACAAGAAACGAAUAAAUCUCUGCCAUAGGAGUUUUAGCCAAUUCAGAGGCCUUGCUCCCCACAAUUUGGAACAUUCCUUUGGAUUUGACGAAGUCAGGAAGAGAUGGGAGAAAAGUGAAACAACAACAAUAAAACCCCAAGCAUAAACAAACAAAAAGAGUUAAGCAAAACAACAAAUGCACAAUUCAUAUGAUUACUGAGUGUUCUAAUGGUAAGGAGAAAUUAAAAGCAGAAAUUAAAAGCAGCUGGUGAGUAAUCUUAAAUUUUAGUCAUUAAGGAAAAAUUUUAAGACAAAACUCUAAUUCAGCUACUUACCUGGAAAUAAGGCUCAGGCUGGUGAUCGUUCUCUGCCAUCUUAGAAGCUGGAAAAAACUUACACUCACCUUCCCUGUCAGAAGCAAGCUGA